rnacentral:lncRNA from 1 species
CUUAAGCAAGUCUCGAAAGUACGCAUGCCACCUCUGCUUGGCUUGAGACUCCCCUAUUAGAACUCUACCAUCCUCGUCCUUGAUGCACCUAACUUGGUCAAGAUCACGCGCCUUCCUUUCCCUUGCUUUAGCAAACCGGAAUAACUUCAUGUCCCCACCUUUCUCCCCUAAUUCCUCGUAUAUGCGGUCAAACGCCGUAUUUUUGGCUUCCAUAACCGCCAUCUUUGCUUCUUUCCUCGCCGCCUUGUAGGUCUCCAUGUUCGCUCUCCGUUCUUCCUCGCUUAUGCUCCCUACCAUCUUAGCAAACGCCGCUUUCUUCACCUCCACUUUUCCUUGGACUACAUCGUUCCACCGCCAGUCACCCUGAUGUCUGCCU